rnacentral:misc_RNA from 1 species
UCCAGGUUAACCCUGGCAGUCUCUCUAGAGUGCCCAACUUAAUGCUGGCAACUAAAGAUAGGGGUUGCGCUCGUUGCGAGACUUAACCCAACAUUUCACAACACGAGCUGACGACAGCCAUGCAGCGCCUGUCUCCGCAUUCCCCGAAGGGCACUCCCAUAUCUCUACGGGAUUCGCGGGAUUUCAAACCCAGGUAAGGUUCUGCGCGUUGCUUCGAAUUAAACCACAUAAUCCACCGCUUGUGCGGGCCCCCGUCAAUUCCUUUGAGUUUUAGUCUUGCGACCGUACUCCCCAGGCGGAGCACUUAAUGCGUUUGCUACGUCACGGCAGGGGUUAAUACCUGCCACAACUAGUGCUCAUAGUUUACGGCGUGGACUAC